UACGUAGGGUGCAAGCGUUGUCCGGAAUUAUUGGGCGUAAAGAGCUCGUAGGCGGUUUGCUGCGUCGGCUGUGAAAUCCCGAGGCUCAACCUCGGGUCUGCAGUCGAUACGAGCAAACUAGAGUGUUGCAGGGGAGACUGGAAUUCCUGGUGUAGCGGUGAAAUGCGCAGAUAUCAGGAGGAACACCGGUGGCGAAGGCGGGUCUCUGGGCAACAACUGACGCUGAGGAGCGAAAGCGUGGGGAGCGAACAGG
rnacentral:rRNA from 1 species